rnacentral:lncRNA from 1 species
AGCUGUCCCACACUCUUCCAGUUUUGCGAGAAAUAUGAGGUGACUCUUCUCAGUAAAAUAAAAGCCAUAAUUAUUUGGAUUUAGUGAAACAGUUCAUUAAUGACUUCUGAUAGUUUGUGGCACUGGUGAAACAAGGGCAUAAUAAGACUAUUGUUUUCUUGAAAACAAAAUUCUAAAACACCAACAUUUUAUAGCUUUUUAUGUUUUAGGCAGGAGUAAAGUCCUUAUUGCCCUUCAAAUGCACACAAACACACACAAAAAAAAAGUUUUCAAGUAAGGUCCUUGAAAAAGAGGAAGGCAUUAGCUCGAAGUGACAAUUCCCAUUGGAGGCAGAGCAUCAGAAAACAUACGUGGGUGGUUAAAAUAUUCCAAAACCAUACAAAUUCCAAUCUUAAAUAGAGGUGACUAAACCAGAAGCAGAAGGCCACAAAGGAAGCUGUAAUAGAAAAAUAUAGAAAAAUAGAAAAAACAUUCUCUGGAACUUUUCUCUAGAGCAUCAGUUCUGUCUCAUCCUGCAGUAAAGAGGUAGAGCUUUUAUUUUAUUUUUCCAAUUAUUUUUAUUGAAAGUGUAUUUCUGUUGUUCUUCAUGUUCCUGGUUCAGUUUCUUCCUCUUACUUUCCCACCUUGAAAGUCCUUUUUAGAGUAGCAAUUUAGAUGUCAACCCCUGAAUGGUUGUUUUGCAGCAUCCAUAGUUCUAUUUGACACGGUCCAAAACUAGUCCCCACCUUAUAAAGGAAAUAUUUCAUAGGUCCCUAAUCCA